GACGAACGCUGGCGGCGUGCUUAACACAUGCAAGUCGAACGGAAAGGCCCUGCUUUUGUGGGGUGCUCGAGUGGCGAACGGGUGAGUAACACGUGAGUAACCUGCUCUUGACUUUGGGAUAACUUCAGGAAACUGGGGCUAAUACCGGAUAGGAGCUCCUGCUGCAUGGUGGGGGUUGGAAAGUUUCGGCGGUUGGGGAUGGACUCGCGGCUUAUCAGCUUGUUGGUGGGGUAGUGGCUUACCAAGGCUUUGACGGGUAGCCGGCCUGGGAGGGUGACCGGCCACAUUGGGACUGAGAUACGGCCCAGACUCCUACGGGAGGCAGCAGUGGGGAAUAUUGCACAAUGGGCGGAAGCCUGAUGCAGCAACGCCGCGUGCGGGAUGACGGCCUUCGGGUUGUAAACCGCUUUCGCCUGUGACGAAGCGUGAGUGACGGUAAUGGGUAAAGAAGCACCGGCUAACUACGUG
rnacentral:rRNA from 1 species